GACGAACGCUGGCGGCGUGCUUAACACAUGCAAGUCGAACGGAAAGACCCUGCUUUUGUGGGGUGCUCGAGUGGCGAACGGGUGAGUAACACGUGAGUAACCUGCCCUUGACUUUGGGAUAACUUCAGGAAACUGGGGCUAAUACCGGAUAGGAGCUCCUGCUGCAUGGUGGGGGUUGGAAAGUUUCGGCGGUUAGGGAUGGACUCGCGGCUUAUCAGCUUGUUGGUGGGGUAGUGGCUUACCAAGGCUUUGACGGGUAGCCGGCCUGAGAGGGUGACCGGCCACAUUGGGACUGAGAUACGGCCCAGACUCCUACGGGAGGCAGCAGUGGGGAAUAUUGCACAAUGGGCGGAAGCCUGAUGCAGCAACGCCGCGUGCGGGAUGACGGCCUUCGGGUUGUAAACCGCUUUCGCCUGUGACGAAGCGUGAGUGACGGUAAUGGGUAAAGAAGCACCGGCUAACUACGUG
rnacentral:rRNA from 1 species